GUGCAGCAGGCGAGAAUUUUUCUCAAUGGGGGCAACCCUGAAGGAGCGACGCCGCGUGGAGGAUGAAGGCUUUCGGGUUGUAAACUCCUGUCAUUUGAGAACAAGUGUAGCCAAGUAACUACUGGCUACUUGAUAGUAUCAGAAGAGGAAGGGACGGCUAACUCUGUGCCAGCAGCCGCGGUAAUACAGAGGUCCCAAGCGUUGUUCGGAUUCAUUGGGCGUAAAGGGUGCGUAGGUGGCGCCGUAAGUGGGGUGUGAAAUUUCGGAGCUUAACUCCGAAACUGCAUUCCAUACUGCGGUGCUUGAGGACUGGAGAGGAGACUGGAAUUCAUGGUGUAGCAGUGAAAUGCGUAGAGAUCAUGAGGAAGACCAGUGGCGAAGGCGGGUCUCUGGACAGUUCCUGACACUGAGGCACGAAGGCCAGGGGAGCGAACGGGAUUAGAUACCCCCGUAGU
rnacentral:rRNA from 1 species